rnacentral:tRNA from 1 species
GGGCUAGUGGCUAAGCCAGGCAUAGCGACAGGCUCUUAACUUGUUGGUCGUGGGUUCAAACGCUAUGAGAUUUCCUCGGGCGGAACGUAUCCCACCUAGCCCG